CAAAUACUCCCUCCGUCCGGAAAUACUUUUCAUCAAAAUGGAUAAAAGGAAAUGUAUCUAGACGUAUUUUAGUUUUAGAUACAUCUCUUUUUAUCCAUUUUGAUGACAAGUAUUUUCGGACGGAGGGAGUAGAAA
rnacentral:pre_miRNA from 1 species